rnacentral:lncRNA from 1 species
GUGUCUGUAGUGUGUUCGACUGAUGUAGCAAGUGUUUACCCAAAAAAAAAACUGAUAUAGCAAGUGCGUUUGUUAAAGCAACACUAGGUUUGAGCACUAGCUCGAGCAUAGUUCUUGGAAUAAUGGAUCUUUUUAAGGGGUGAGAUGAGACAUGGCUCUUGGGAAACGGAACUUUUGGCCUCUUAUAGGCUUGAGCACCCACUUUUGCGGAGGAGCAGAAACAUGUGGUGCAUGUAAAGGCAGCUUGAUUGAAGGGAAAGAAUGUUAAAAAUCAUCUAUGAGGUUCAAUCUCAUAUAGAACAAUGAAUGAGAGGUAGAU